rnacentral:rRNA from 1 species
UACGAAGGGGGCUAGCGUUGUUCGGAUUUACUGGGCGUAAAGCGCACGUAGGCGGAUUGUUAAGUCAGGGGUGAAAUCCUGGAGCUCAACUCCAGAACUGCCUUUGAUACUGGCGAUCUCGAGUCCGGGAGAGGUGAGUGGAACUGCGAGUGUAGAGGUGAAGUUCGUAGAUAUUCGCAAGAACACCAGUGGCGAAGGCGGCUCACUGGCCCGGUACUGACGCUGAGGUGCGAAAGCGUGGGGAGCAAACAGG